GUAGUGAUAUGCUUGUUUCAAAGAUUAAGCCAUGCAUGUCUAAGUAUAAGCGAACUUAUACAGUGAAACUGCGGAUGGCUCAUUAAAACAGUUUGAAUUUAUUUGAUGAAUGUAUGAGAAUACUACUUGGAUAACCGUAGUAAUUCUAGAGCUAAUACAUGCAACGACGCCCGACCGUUUCACUACGGAAGGGCUGUAUUUAUUGGAUACCAAAACCAUCCUUCCCUCGGGAAGUUUUGUUUGAUGAUUCACAAUAACUGAUCGGAUCGCCACUGUGGUGGCGACAGGUCAUUCAACAUUCUGCCCUAUCAGCUUUCGAUGGUUGUGUAGUGGACAACCAUGGCCAUAACGGGUAACGGAGAAUCAGGGUUCGAUUCCGGAGAAGGAGCUUGAGAAUUGGCUACUACAUCUAAGGAAGGCAGCAGGCGCGCAAAUUACCCAAUCCCGAUUCGGGGAGGUAGUGACAAAAAAUAACAAUACCGGGCCUUUUUGGGCUUGGUAAUUGGAAUGAGGGAGAGUUAAACGGACCAUCGAGUAUCCAUUGGAGGGCAAGUCUGGUGCCAGCAGCUGCGGUAAUACCAGCUCCAAUAGCGUAUAUUAAAGUUGUUGCAGUUAAAAAGCUCGUAGUUGGACUUGUGUGCGCUGUCCGCGGGUGGCCUGCGCCCAAAAGGGCGUUUCGGUUCGGCCCCGGUGGCGCCUUGAAAUCUGCAGCUGGGGGGACGUUGGCCUUAACUGGUCGGCGACCGCACGCCGGCUGCUCGGUUACUGUGAGAAAAUUAGAGUGUUCAAGGCAGGCAUUGGGUGCAAUUGAAUACAUUAGCAUGGAAUAAUAAAAUAUGGCUCCUGCCGUAUUUUGUUGGUUUUGACUGGUGGAAGUAAUGAUUGAUAGGGACGGUUGGGGGUGCUAGUAUUGAGCGGCCAGAGGUGAAAUUCAUGGAUUCGCUCAAGACUAACUUAUGCGAAAGCAUUCACCAAGGACGUCCUCUUUUAAUCAAGAACGAAAGUUGGGGGAUCGAAGACGAUCAGAUACCGUCGUAGUCUCAACCAUAAACUAUGUCGACUUGGGAUCGGCGGUAGUUUUUUCAUUAAGGCACUGUCGGGACCACGGGAGAAAUCAAAGUGUCUGGACUCUGGGGGAAGUAUGGUCGCAAGGCUGAAACUUGAAGGAAUUGACGGAAGGGCACCACCAGGAGUGGAGCCUGCGG
rnacentral:rRNA from 1 species